CCUACGGGUGGCAGCAGUGGGGAAUAUUGCACAAUGGGCGGAACCCUGAUCCAGCGACGCCGCGUGAGGGAAGAAGCUUUUCGGCGCGUAAAGCCCUUUCAGCGGGGAAGAAAAUUACGGUACAUGCCUUCGAAUCCCCAGCUCCCUACAGGCCAGCAGCCGCGGUAAUACGUAGGGGGCAAGCGUUAUCCGGAGUUACUGGGGGUAAAGGGGGCGUAGACGGCGUGACAAGUCCGAUGUGAAAGGCCUGGGCUCAACCCCGGGACUGCAUUGGAAACUGGCAGGCUGGAGUGUGGGAGGGGUAAGCGGAAUGCCUAGUGUAGCGGUGAAAUGCGUAGAUAUUAGGAAGAACACCGGUGGCGAAGGCGGCAUGCUGGACGGUAACUGACGGUGAGGCACGAAAGCGUGGGGAGCAAACAGGAUUAGAUACCCUAGUAGUC
rnacentral:rRNA from 1 species